rnacentral:rRNA from 1 species
UGCGUAGGCGGUGUUAUAAGUCAGAGGUGAAAGGCCACCGCUUAACGGUGGGACUGCCUUUGAUACUGUAGUGCUUGAAUAAGGUUGAGGUUAGCGGAAUGUGACAUGUAGCGGUGAAAUGCAUAGAUAUGUCAUAGAACACCAAUUGCGAAGGCAGCUGGCUAGACCUUUAUUGACGCUGAGGCACGAAAGCGUGGGGAGCGAACAGGAUUAGAUACCCUGGUAGUCC